UUGUGUCAGCAGCAUGAGUCAGCAAGAGAGCAGAAGCAAGAAGAGAGCCGGCUGGAAGACACCUACCCUGGCCGGAAGGCACCUAUCCCUGAAGAUCAAGAAAGAGGCCAUCCAGCAAGGCAAGCUACUUCUAUAGAAGACUGAGCCCUUACAGAUGGAACAAUGGGCCACUCUCCAGCCUGCUCAGCAUAAACUGGACCCCUACCCUCAAGCUUCUGCUUGGUUUCGGUGGAGGUCUGAUGCUUGUUGAUUCUCUCGGUAAGUUACUGCAGGUUGACUAUGUCCCUCUAGCAAAAGGCACAGCUCUUUCAGGCAACCCCUGGGCAUGCCUCCCCUCCCCAACUCCUUCAGGCCCAAGUGGGAGCUUCUCAGGCUCCACUGGUUUCCCUGUUCCUUGCACACUGCCCUUUGGGUGGGUACAACAUCCGUUUCCUGCUGGGAGACUGCUCAGUCUGAUUUGUUUAUGUAUUUAUUAUAAACAAAAAAGAGAUGAAAGUACAUUGAUUUUGAAAGAGAAAAUGCAUUUAAAAAGUUCUAGACAAAUGGUGUAAAUUAAUGAAAAUUUGAAAAGGACCCCUCCACCUCCACCAAAAAAAAAAGGACAUAUGGAAGUAAAAUGACAUCUUGCCCUGUCACCAUUGUAAGUAUGUACAUCACAUCUCCCCAUCAUAUAAAGGAGAUUUUUUCAUUCUGAAAUGCAAACAAAAGGAAAAACUAGGGUUAGCACCCGGUAUACUACUAGUCCCCCCAGAAAUGUGUUACUGGACCAACACGUUCUUAUGCUUGCUGUCCAGUAACAGAUCAAUACACAAAGACAGCAGGGUUUGCAGCAGAGAAAGAGUUUAAUGGUCUUAGCAUGACCAAGCAAACGGAAGGAGACAGUCAAAUCUGUCUUGCCAAGGAGUUCUGGGCUGGGGCUUUUAAGGGGAUUGUGGAGGGGAGGGGCUAGAAAAUUGGGGUCAAUGAUUGGUUGGGAUAAAGGGGAUGAAAGCAUCAGGAUGUGGACACCACAUUCUUUGGUGAGUCGGCUUCUUGUGGGGUCCUUCAGAGCAGCUGGCGUCUGUAGUUUCACUCGUGUGCAGGACCUGAAAGAAUAUCUCAAAUGGAAAACUUGAUAUUUCACAAUGUUCAAGAUGUUAUCUAUAGAACAGUUCUAAGGAGAGCUAUAAUCUUGUGAUGGGGUAUUCCAGAAAAACUCUCAAACCAUGUUUUUCCUCUGCUCUCGCACCACUACAACAGCAAUCAUUAACACAGAAGAAGGCUUCUGUGACCAAGUGUGUGGGGAUUUCUUCCCACCACCAAAGGAGCAAUUAAUUCUGCAGUGAACACCAGCGGGAUGUUCUCCAAAUCAAUUUCAACACUACCUACCUGGAGGCAAUCCCACAGGUUGAGGGCUCAGGGGAAACCAACAUGAACAUGGACAUCAUGCUGUUUCCUGUGCCAUAAGUGAUAAAGUCCUUUGCCUC